UCUGUGAUGAUGAGACGCGCAGGGGUACGGACCUCAGCCAGUAAUGGGGGCUGAGUGCUGCUGCUGAGCUCUGAUUGGAGGACGUGUGGUUCACUGACAGAGUGGCAGCGGCACGAUACAGACGCCACACUGAACAGA